AUUGAACGCUGGCGGCAGGCCUAACACAUGCAAGUCGAGCGAGCGGCGGACGGGUGAGUAAUGUAUGGGGACUGCCCGAUAGAGGGGGAUAACUACUGGAAACGGUGGCUAAUACCGCAUACUAUCGGAUAACCCAUAUGGGAUUAGCUAGUCGGUGGGGUAAAGGCUCACCUAGGCGACGAUCUCUAGCUGGUAUGAGAGGAUGAUAGGCAACAGUGGGACGGAGAAACGGCCCAGAGUGCGAGGGAGGAAGCAGAGGGGAAGAGUGCACAAGGGGCGAAAGGCUGAUGCAGCAAUGCCGCGGGUAUGAAGAAGGGCUUAGGGUUGUAAAGUACUUUCAGCGGGGAGGCGUUACCCGAAGAAGAAGCACCGGCUAACUACGUGCCAGCAGCCGCGGUAAUUG
rnacentral:rRNA from 1 species